GAUCUGCCUGUUUAAUAAAUUACGGUAAGAAAAAAAAUAAAAACACAUUCAAAAAAGCUUUACCGUCUAUUAUUGUUUUAGUUGUUUCAUUGAUUCAAAGCAUGGUGUAAAAACGCUUUAAAGGCACAUCUUAUCGUCAGAGUCUUUCAGAGAGAAUCUUCUUGGGAAGUAUUUGUCUAUUUAAAUGAGGAGGAGCUUGUUGCCAUGGUGACGCGUCGAUACACGGAAGGGUCCUUUGAAUCUUCUCGAAUCUGAAGAAGUUACACUCACGACUCUUGAUUGAUUGAUUGACGGACAGACAGCCGUCGCCAUGACAGCAGGAGCAGUGUCAGUGCCACUCAUCAUUCCCAUGAUGCACCUGACACACAGAGCCAAGAACCACAUUGACACCAACAUACCUGUGUCCAUCGAGUCAGACACCCCUGAGGUUCUGAUCUUCUUCACUCUGGACGGGUCGAAGCCGGCGUGGCCUCAGGGGUCAGCGGGGUCAGCGGGCGGCAGCAGGAAGUACAGCGGGCCGAUCCGGCUG